CAUUAUUUUAUAAAGAUCCUUUUCCAACGCAUUUUAUAUUUACGACUUUCUACCGGAAACUCGAAAUUCUUCAGCGUCGAUCAACCGGAAAAUGUAAAUAUCAACACUGCAACGAUUUGAAAUGGUAUUUUUAAAAUUUAAAAAGGGUAAAUUUUCGACAAACAAAUUAAUAAGCAAAUCUGCGUCGUUUAUGAAAAUCAGACAUCAGAAAAGUCAGAGUAAUUCAAAUUUGGCAUCUGGAAUAAGAGAGGAACACGAUUAUUGUGUUACUGUUAGUGACAAUUUAAAUGUUAUAAAACCUGUAUCAAAUAUCGCCGGAGGCAGAAGUGAUGAAGAAGAUGAACUUAUAUAUGAUAGAACUGAUAUACUACCAGACAACCUAGUUCCUUUAAAUUUUUGUAGAUUUAUUAUUGAAAUUGAUCUGAUUAUUCAAGGCCUUGAGUCAUGUUCAAAUUGUAUGAAACCCCUUCAUCUGAAGGAUUCAUUAGGUGUUUUACCAAGAGGGUUAGGAGGAUGGCUUUACAUAGAAUGUAAGCAAUGUAUUCGAGUUAAGAAAAUCCCACUGUCAAAGCGUCAUUUUACAACACCGAGCAAAAGGGGUCCAGGAGUUUUUGAUGUAAACACCAAAAUUGCAACAGGUACAUGAAUGGCACUCUGAAAAAUUAUAACUGUAUUUUUGUGUUACUUUUUCAUUUUUGUUAUAUAUGUGAUCAAUAAAUGAUUUUUUUUCUUCAGGUUUAAUUCAGUCAUGAUUUGAAGAUAGAAAAAUAUUAACAUGCAUAUACAUGUAACCCUUUUCUUGGUGGGUCAUGGAGAAAUUUGGCUUAAACAGUUACCCCAUUGUAAAUUGUGUUUGACAUAAAUCUGUUUUAAAGGCCUUAACUUGCAGUACUGUUAUAUACAUGUAUGACAUUGACAGCCAAAAAGGAAAGGGAUAUCAGAAAUUGAUUUUGGUGAACUGAUUAAAAUGAUGCAUCCACAUGUACAUGUCAUGCAUGUACAAUAAAAACAACAUAAAUAAAGUGGAUGUAAGCAAUUAAAGGCAACCAUAAUACCUUCAACAAGGAGAAAAAUUGAUGUCAUGGCAUAGUCAGCUAUUUAAUACCUGACAUGAAAAAUAUAAGACAAUUCAAUUAUGAAGACUAUAGACAGACUAAUUUAAAACCAAGAAAUUGAUGAAAAACCUAUAUGACAGACAUGAACCAACAACAACCACUGAACUUGAUUGUACAGUCUCCUGACUUGGGACAAGCACAUUAAGAAUGCUGAUGGGUUAAUGAGUUCGUGAGUGCUCAAUUCCCCUAACAGCUAGGACUGUGCAUUGUGAAAGAAACUAGUAAAUCAGUUGAUUUUCCUUCCUUGCCAUGCUGGUUUCCGUGUCAAAUGGUGGAAUCUGAAGAGAAUAGUUUACCAUUUGUUUAAUCUGUAAUUUUAAAUUGAACUGAUGGAAACCUGAAGAGAAUGAUGUACAAUAUGUUUUGCAUGGACAUUUCAGAGAAGACUGUUGAUUGUUUUAUUUUCAUUGGAAUGCUUCACGUAGGCCUUGGUGAGACCCAACUUAGUAAUCUGUUGGCUUCGGUGAAUCUUCACUAUUUGAGCGUAUCUGGGUUAAAGACGAGAGAAGAAGAAGUUGGGGCAGCAUUGGAUUCAUAUGCUGAAGAAUCCAUGAUAAAAUAUCUAAAUAUGGAGUCUAAUUUACAGGAAAAUACUCAUGAUUCUGAUGACAAUGGAGAAAACAAAGGGAUUGCAGUUUCCACUGAUACUGUUGGCAAAAAAAAAGGCUCCGGGAAAUCCUAUAAUAGUUUGUCUGGUAUAGUAACACAAUUAACACUAUAUAAAUUAGUAUUUGUUAUGUUUAAAAAAUUGAAGAAUAUUAUUUUGAAGUAUCAAUUGAUGUUCAACUCAAAUAAUAAGUUUUACACAAAUUUUUAGUCAUGCUUUGAGAUAGUAAUUUGAUGAUUGGUAUAUAGUCUUAUCAUGACAAGUUACAGAUCAAGUUCAGUUUUGGUUUGGUCUAAUGAUUUUGUAGAGAGUUAUGGUCCUUGUACUUAGGAAAUUCACUCACUUAAUCAGUUUUCCUCAUCUUUUCUUCUUGCUUGAAGAUAUUUAUUUGAAAAUUGGUAUAUAGUUUUAUCAUGACAAGUUAAAUAUCAAGUUCGAAUUAAGUUCCAGGCUGAUUAUUUUGUGCAGAGUUAUGGUCCUUGGACAUAAAAAAAUUCACUCAGAUAAUAAA